rnacentral:rRNA from 1 species
CCCUUAGAUGUUCUGGGCUGCACACGUGCUACACUGGCAGGUUCAGCGAGCUUCAUGCCCUGAUCUGAAAGGAAUGGGAAAUCUUUUCAAAACCUGCCGUGCUUGGGAUAGAUGUUUGCAAUUAUUCAUCUUCAACGAGGAUUGCCUUGUAAGCGCACGUCAUCAGCGUGCAUUGAAUACGACCCUGUAUUCUGUACACACCGCCCGUCGCUCCUACCGAUUGAAGUUUUCGGUGAGUUGACAGGAGGAUUUUUUUGAAACUGGUUCUCCAGUGGAUUUUAGAUCCAAAUGCCAACGAAUCGAUGGCUUUAGAGGAAGGAGAAGUCGUAACA